UUUAGCCAAACUUUGUGGAUGACAUCUAUUCAUCCCUCACUGACAUGAUGGUAAUGCUGGUGAACGCAGCAGAAGUGCUCUCUGAACAGAUGUGGUUACACCUGUGAGCGACCCAUUUUGUUCCUAAAAUUAGCUGAGUUGCAUAUGCUUCAUUCAGUGUGUUCAUCUUUGAUUUCUUCAAUACAGACAUGUUGAUUAAAAAUGUCAGUAUAUACAGUAUUAUAUUGCUUAUAUUUCUUUGUGAUGCCCAUUGUCAAACAACGGUUGAAAAGUGUUUUGGUAUUUCUACAUUUUACRGUAAAAACAGCGUGUGUCACAAAGGUGUACUGUGGGUAUUGGUUUUCAUAUUUAUGUAUUUUUUUAAUCAAUAAGCCACCAGUUAAAUGAUCAGGAGUCUGUGAAUGUCUUUCAUUUGAUUUAUUUUAGCUGUUUUGUACAGGCAGCUGGAUAUAAACCACCUUAAUCUUUAGGUGAAGCUAUUAGAUCCUUACAUGCAACACAAACUUGUAAAACAAAACAUGUUUACAAAAACUAACACAUAAAUUGGUUGUUACAUCCUGGUUUGGAGCUUGAGUUUUGCACAGAAAAAGUACCAAAGGAAAAAACAACUGUUUCUUAUAUUGUCAUGGGUGCAUCAAGGUACACAGAUUUCAUACACAAAAAUAAGUUUACAGGUUUCUCACAGAAGAACAGGUUUCAGAAAAAUAUCAGUGCAUUCAGCAAAUUUUUCAAAAAAAAUUUUUUUCUUAGCUUUUUGACAAAAUCUGUGCUUUUUUUCUCACAUCCCUUGAGUGUUCCUUUUAGCGAGGUGUUGGCGAUACUACAACUUUGAUUAUGAUCCAAUACCAAGUGAAUACUUGACAAACAUACUCGAUAUUGAUGCUUUUUACUUGUAUUGGGAUGUUCAUUGAAUAACUUUGAUAUUUAUUUACUUAGUCGAAUAUGAUGAGACAGAACCAAGAUUUUAGGGCAGGGUCAGACUAAAAAUAUAAGGAUACUAAAAUAUUGCUUUCUACUGAACAGAACCUGUUUAAAAAGUAUUGUAGCCAAUACAGUAUUAUGUGAUCAUAUUUCGUACAUAAUAGUUGCUUAUGAAUAUCACUUAUUUAAGAAGAAAUUCAUUUCAAAACAAAAAUCAAAUAACCACUGGUUUCUUGUUUUUUAAUUCCCAAUUCUAAAAAGAAAAUCCAAUGACUGAAACAUACACUGACCCAAGAGGAGCAUCAUGGUGAAAGCUAUAAUGCUGCGCUUGUGAAAGUAAAACUGUUGGGCUUCACCUUGGCACUCUGAGUUUUACAUUGCCAAAUUGGACCUGGUUUAAAAAAGGAAACUAAACUGUCAUUUGAAGAUCUCACAGAGCUUUGAUAAAACCACGGUUGCAGCCAUGUCGCAGAGACAGUGAUUGCCCUGGAGAUGAAAAAUGCUGCGUAUUUGACUUCGGAUCUGGUUGUGUCCCUCCUGAGCCAUCUGCUCUUAAGUGUCCACCUCAUGGAAGAUUUGGGUCUUGUAUUGAAGGAUGUUUUGAUGGAUGAAAAAAUGGUCAGAUGUGCUGCUCUACUG